rnacentral:rRNA from 1 species
CUUCUGGACAGUACUGACGCUGAGAUGCGAAAGCGUGGGGAGCAAACAGGAUUAGAUACCUGGUAGUCCACGCUGUAAACGAUGUCGAUUUGGAGUUUGUUGCCUAGAGUGAUGGGCUCCGAAGCUAACGCGAUAAAUCGACCGCCUGGGGAGUACGGCCGCAAGGUUAAAACUCAAAUGAAUUGACGGGGGCCCGCACAAGCGGUGGAGCAUGUGGUUUAAUUCGAUGCAACGCGAAGAACCUUACCUGGUCUUGACAUCCAUAGAAUUCUGCAGAGAUGUGGGAGUGCCUUCGGGAACUAUGAGACAGGUGCUGCAUGGCUGUCGUCAGCUCGUGUUGUGAAAUGUUGGGUUAAGUCCCGCGACGAGCGCAACCCUUAUUCUUUGUUGCCAGCGAUUUGGUCGGGAACUCAAAGGAGACUGCCGUUGAUAAAGCGGAGGAAGGUGGGGACGACGUCAAGUCGUCAUGGCCCUUACGACCAGGGCUACACACGUGCUACAAUGGCGUAUACAAAGGGAAGCGAGGGUGCGAGCUGGAGCGGAUCUCAUAAAGUACGUCUAAGUUCGGAUUGGAGUCUGCAACUCGACUCCAUGAAGUCGGAAUCGCUAGUAAUCGUAGAUCAGAAUGCUACGGUGAAUACGUUCCCGGGCCUUGUACACACCGCCCGUCACACCAUGGGAGUGGGUUGCACCAGAAGUAGAUAGCUUAACCGCGAGGGGGGCGUUUACCACGGUGUGAUUCAUGACUGGGGUGAAGUCGUAACAAGGUAACCA